rnacentral:lncRNA from 1 species
GCCUGCUGCAGCCCCUCAAUAUCACUCAGGUCCUGAGCCAUGGAGAAGGGACAGACAUCAACUUUUGGAUCCAAGCUGGAGUGCCUGGAGCCAGUCUACUUGAUGACUUAUACAAGUAUUUCUUCUUCCAUCACUCCCACGGAGACACCAUGACUGUCAUGGAUCCAAAGCAGAUGAAUGUUGCUGCUGCUGUUUGGGCUGUUGUUUCUUAUGUUGUUGCAGACAUGGAAGAAAUGCUGCCUAGGUCCUAGAAACAGUAAGAAAGAAACGUUUUCAUGCUUCUGGCCAGGAAUCCUGGGUCUGCAACUUUGGAAAACUCCUCUUCACAUAACAAUUUCAUCCAAUUCAUCUUCAAAGCACAACUCUAUUUCAUGCUUUCUGUUAUUAUCUUUCUUGAUACUUUCCAAAUUCUCUGAUUCUAGAAAAAGGAAUCAUUCUCCCCUCCCUCCCACCACAUAGAAUCAACAUAUGGUAGGGAUUACAGUGGGGGCAUUUCUUUAUAUCACCUCUUAAAAACAUUGUUUCCACUUUAAAAGUAAACACUUAAUAAAUUUUUGGAAGAUCUCU